rnacentral:lncRNA from 1 species
AAUCCAAUAGAUGUAAUCAAUUCCAAUGAAUCUUCCAGUCCAUUUUCUUCAUAAAUACCUAAAAUCCUCUCAUCAUCUUGCAAUGUACCUAACUUGCAUAAUUCUCCUUCAAUAUUAUAAAAUCUUUUUCUUUCUUUUCUUUUAAAAUCAUCAACUUUCUUAUACAUAAUAUUUCCAUUCUCCAAUAUACCAAUAAAACUCGCAUCAAAGGCACCUUCAUCUCGCGAGAGUACCUCCUCUUUUGUACCUCCAUAAUCUCGCUUUACAGUGGUACUUCUCCAAAAUCCUUAAAUCCUUCAACAAUCUUUGGCAAUGGUUUCUCCCUCAACCUAUCUC